rnacentral:rRNA from 1 species
UGGGGAAUCUUGGACAAUGGGGGCAACCCUGAUCCAGCCAUGCCGCGUGAGUGAUGAAGGCCUUAGGGUCGUAAAGCUCUUUCGCCUGUGAAGAUAAUGACGGUAGCAGGUAAAGAAACCCCGGCUAACUCCGUGCCAGCAGCCGCGGUAAUACGGAGGGGGUUAGCGUUGUUCGGAAUUACUGGGCGUAAAGCGCACGUAGGCGGACCAGAAAGUUGGGGGUGAAAUCCCGGGGCUCAACCCCGGAACUGCCUCCAAAACUAUUGGUCUAGAGUUCGAGAGAGGUGAGUGGAAUUCCAAGUGUAGAGGUGAAAUUCGUAGAUAUUUGGAGGAACACCAGUGGCGAAGGCGGCUCACUGGCUCGAUACUGACGCUGAGGUGCGAAAGUGUGGGGAGCAAACAGGAUUAGAUACCCUGGGUAGUCCACACCGUAAAACGAUGAAUGCCAGUCGUCGGGUAGCAUGCUAUUCGGUGACACACCUAACGGAUUAAGC